rnacentral:rRNA from 1 species
CUAGUAACGGCGAGUGAAGCGGCAACAGCUCAAAUUUGAAAUCUGGCCUUCGGGUCCGAGUUGUAAUUUGUAGAGGAUGCUUUUGGCGCGGUGCCUUCCGAGUUCCCUGGAACGGGACGCCUUAGAGGGUGAGAGCCCCGUACGGUUGGACACCAAGCCUCUGUAAAGCUCCUUCGACGAGUCGAGUAGUUUGGGAAUGCUGCUCUAAAUGGGAGGUAAAUUUCUUCUAAAGCUAAAUAUUGGCCAGAGACCGAUAGCGCACAAGUAGAGUGAUCGAAAGAUGAAAAGCACUUUGAAAAGAGGGUUAAAUAGCACGUGAAAUUGUUGAAAGGGAAGCGUUUGCGACCAGACUUUUCCCUAGCGGAUCAUCCGGUGUUCUCACCGGUGCACUUCGCUAGGUUAAGGCCAGCAUCGGUUUCUGUAGGGGGAUAAAAGCUUGGGGAAUGUAGCUCCCUCGGGAGUGUUAUAGCCUCUUGUAUAAUACCCUUACGGGGACCGAGGACCGCGCUUUUGCAAGGAUGCUGGCGUAAUGGUUGUCAACGACCCGUCUUGAAACACGGACCAAGGAGUCGAACAUUUGUGCGAGUGUUUGGGUGUUAAACCCUCACGCGUAAUGAAAGUGAACGGAGGUGAGAGCCCUUACGGGUGCAUCAUCGACCGAUCCUGAUGUCUUCGGAUGGAUUUGAGUAAGAGCAUAACUGUUCGGACCCGAAAGAUGGUGAACUAUGCGUGGAUAGGGUGAAGCCAGAGGAAACUCUGGUGGAGGCUCGCAGCGGUUCUGACGUGCAAAUCGAUCGUCAAAUCUGCGCAUGGGGGCGAAAGACUUAUCGAACCAUCUAGUAGCUGGUUACCGCCGAAGUUUCCCUCAGGAUAGCAGUGUUGUUCUUCAGUUUUAUGAGGUAAAGCGAAUGAUUAGGGACUCGGGGGCGCUUUUUAGCCUUCAUCCAUUCUCAAACUUUAAAUAUGUAAGAAGCCCUUGUUACUUAAUUGAACGUGGGCAUUCGAAUGUACCAACACUAGUGGGCCAUUUUUGG